GAUGAACGCUGGCGGCGUGCUUAACACAUGCAAGUCGAACGGAAAGGCCCAAGCUUGCUUGGGUACUCGAGUGGCGAACGGGUGAGUAUCACGUGGGUGAUCUGCCCUGCACUUCGGGAUAAGCCUGGGAAACUGGGUCUAAUACCGGAUAGGACCACAUUUUGGAUGGUGUGGUGGAAAGUUUUUCGGUGUGGGAUGAGCUCGCGGCCUAUCAGCUUGUUGGUGGGGUAAUGGCCUACCAAGGCGUCGACGGGUAGCCGGCCUGAGAGGGUGUACGGCCACAUUGGGGCUGCGAUACGGCGCAGACUCCUACGGGAGGCAGCAGUGGGGAAUAUUGCACAAUGGGCGCAAGCCUGAUGCAGCGACGCCGCGUGGGGGAUGACGGCCUUCGGGUUGUAAACUCCUUUCGCUAGGGACGAAGCGUUAUGUGACGGUACCUGGAGAAGAAGCACCGGCUAACUACGUG
rnacentral:rRNA from 1 species